GCUUUGGAGGUCCUGUGGUUGUGGUUGUGGAUGGACUGGGUAGAGGGGCUGUAGUUCUCCCUGUUGUAGGCGAUGCUUCUGGGGUUCCGAUUGGUGGCGUUGGCUUUGGAGGUCCUGUGGUUGUGGUUGUGGAUGGACUGGGUGGAGGGGCUGUAGUUCUCCCUGUUGUAGGCGAUGCUUCUGGGGUUCCGAUUGGUGGCGUUGGCUUUGGAGGUCCUGUGGUUGUGGUUGUGGAUGGACUGGGUGGAGGGGCU